GGAUGCGAUCAUACCAGCACUAAAGCACCGGAUCCCAUCAGAACUCCGAAGUUAAGCGUCCUUGGCGAGAGUAGUACUAGGAUGGGUGACCUCCUGGGAAGUCCUUGUGUUGCAUUGCC
rnacentral:rRNA from 1 species